UCAUAAUUCGUGAUUCUAUACGCGCCACACAUGCACGUACGUCAUCAUACGUGCGCAGAAUUUCGCAAUUUGAUGUGUCAAAUGCGUUAGCAUAAAUAAAUCAGUAUAAAUGUAUGUGCAAAAAGUGGUUUGGGGAUUACUCUUUUAUAUAUUACAGGCUCUCUUAUUCGUUUUCAAUUAUUAGACGCAUUUACGUAACAGUUUUGAAAGAAAGUUAACAAUAGUCACAUCGAGUUAUGAUUACUGUUACAAUUUUCCCCGAAAUGCUACACGACGAUACUCGAAAAUCAAUUGAAGAUGCAAUCGAUGCAUGAACGAUUUAUCUAAUAUAUAUUAGAUGAAGCGUUAAAAAGUCAAGAAUAUUUAGAAGAAAGGAAGGAAAUAAUUAAAAGCAUGUAUAGAUUGGAGAAUAAUAAUAAUAGUAUUGGAGCAGUAACUGUUUUUAUGUAAACUUUUACAGACUUUAUAUUUGCGCAAAAUUAUAUUGCAAUUUGAUGGAC